CCUACGGGUGGCAGCAGUGGGGAAUAUUGGGCAAUGGGCGCAAGCCUGACCCAGCAACGCCGCGUGAAGGAAGAAGGCUUUCGGGUUGUAAACUUCUUUUCUCAGGGACGAAGCAAGUGACGGUACCUGAGGAAUAAGCCACGGCUAACUACGUGCCAGCAGCCGCGGUAAUACGUAGGUGGCAAGCGUUAUCCGGAUUUACUGGGUGUAAGGGGCGUGUAGGCGGGGACGCAAGUCAGAUGUGAAAACCACGGGCUCAACCUGUGGCCUGCAUUUGAAACUGUGUUUCUUGAGUACUGGAGAGGCAGACGGAAUGCCUAGGGUAGCGGUGAAAGGCGUAGAUAUUAGGGGGAACACCAGGGGCGAAGGCGGUCUGAGGGACAGCAACUGACGCUGAGGCGCGAAAGCGUGGGGAGCAAACAGGAUUAGAUACCCUAGUAGUC
rnacentral:rRNA from 1 species